GAUGAACGCUAGCGAUAGGCCUAACACAUGCAAGUCGAGGGGCAUCACAUGAAGUAGCAAUACGGAUGGUGGCGACCGGCGCACGGGUGAGUAACACGUAUGCAACCUGCCUUCAACAAGGGGAUAACCCGUUGAAAGACGGACUAAUACCCUAUAACACAGGGGUCCCGCAUGGGAAUAUUUGUUAAAGGACAACCGGUUGAAGAUGGGCAUGCGUUCCAUUAGCUAGUUGGCGGGGUAACGGCCCACCAAGGCAACGAUGGAUAGGGGAACUGAGAGGUUUAUCCCCCACACUGGUACUGAGACACGGACCAGACUCCUACGGGAGGCAGCAGUGAGGAAUAUUGGUCAAUGGACGCAAGUCUGAACCAGCCACGUCGCGUGAAGGAAGACGGCCCUACGGGUUGUAAACUUCUUUUAUACGGGAAUAAAGUGCCCCACGCGUGGGGUUUUGCAUGUACCGUAUGAAUAAGGAUCGGCUAACUCCGUGCCAGCA
rnacentral:rRNA from 1 species